rnacentral:rRNA from 1 species
AUUGACCGCUGGCGGCAGGCCUAACACAUGCAAUUCGAGCGAGCGGCGGACGGGUGAGUAAUGUAUGGGGACUGCCCGAUAGAGGGGGAUAACUACUUGAAACGGUAGCUAAUACCGCAUACUAUCGGAUAACCCAUAUGGGAUUAGCUAGUUGGUGAGGUAAUGGCUCACCAAGGCGACGAUCCCUAGCUGGUCUGAGAGGAUGAUCAGCCACACUGGGACUGGGACAAGGCCCAGACGCCUACGGAGGCAGCAGGGGGGAAUAUUGCGAAAUGGGCGCAAGCCUGAUGCAGCCAUGCCGCGUGUAUGAAGAAGGCCCUAGGGUUGUAAAGUACUUUCAGUCGGGAGGCGUUACCGACAGAAGAAGCACCGGCUAACUCCGUGCCAGCCGCCGCGGUAAUUC